rnacentral:rRNA from 1 species
AGUGGACGCUGGCGGUAGGCCUAACACAUGCAAGUCGAACGGCAGCACAGUAAGAGCUUGCUCUUACGGGUGGCGAGUGGCGGACGGGUGAGGAAUACAUCGGAAUCUACUUUUUCGUGGGGGAUAACGUAGGGAAACUUACGCUAAUACCGCAUACGACCUACGGGUGAAAGCAGGGGAUCUUCGGACCUUGCGCGAUUGAAUGAGCCGAUGUCGGAUUAGCUAGUUGGCGGGGUAAAGGCCCACCAAGGCGACGAUCCGUAGCUGGUCUGAGAGGAUGAUCAGCCACACUGGAACUGAGACACGGUCCAGACUCCUACGGGAGGCAGCAGUGGGGAAUAUUGGACAAUGGGCGCAAGCCUGAUCCAGGCAUACCGCGUGGGUGAAGAAGGCCUUCGGGUUGUAAAGCCCUUUUGUUGGGAAAGAAAAGCAGCAGGUUAAUACCCCGCUGUUCUGACGGUACCCAAAGAAUAAGCACCGGCUAACUUCGUG